rnacentral:rRNA from 1 species
UGACGGUAACUUACCAGAAAGGGACGGCUAACUACGUGCCAGCAGCCGCGGUAAUACGUAGGUCCCGAGCGUUGUCCGGAUUUAUUGGGCGUAAAGCGAGCGCAGGCGGUUUAAUAAGUCUGAAGUUAAAGGCAGCGGCUUAACCAUUGUUCGCUUUGGAAACUGUUAGACUUGAGUGCAGAAGGGGAGAGUGGAAUUCCAUGUGUAGCGGUGAAAUGCGUAGAUAUAUGGAGGAACACCGGUGGCGAAAGCGGCUCUCUGGUCUGUAACUGACGCUGAGGCUCGAAAGCGUGGGGAGCAAACAGGAUUAGAUACCCUG